GCUUUAGCCAGCUAGGGGAACCUGUCCUUUAAUUCGAUAGUCCACGAAAAUCUUACCUAUUUUAGCUUUCAGUUUGUAUACCGUCGUCGAAAGCUGGCACCGAAAGGGGUUAGAAGCUAGCAAAAAAGAUUUUUCUCUCGGAAGUCAGAUCAAGGUACAGCCUAUAAAUAGGGGGGAGAUGGGUUACAGUUAAUAAUUUCUAUUGGAGUUCUAAUGAAAUUUAGUUAAUGAAAAGAGGACUUAGAAGUAAUUUCUUAGUUAAAGUUAAGAGAUGAAGUAGGCUCUAGAGCGUGU
rnacentral:rRNA from 1 species